rnacentral:rRNA from 1 species
ACACUCCUGCGGGAGGCAGCAGUGGGGAAUUUUGGACAAUGGGCGAAAGCCUGAUCCAGCAAUGCCGCGUGAGUGAAGAAGGCCUUCGGGUUGUAAAGCUCUUUUGUCAGGGAAGAAACGGUGAAAGCUAAUAUCUUUUGCUAAUGACGGUACCUGAAGAAUAAGCACCGGCUAACUACGUGCCAGCAGCCGCGGUAAUACGUAGGGUGCAAGCGUUAAUCGGAAUUACUGGGCGUAAAGCGUGCGCAGGCGGUUUUGUAAGUCUGAUGUGAAAUCCCCGGGCUCAACCUGGGAAUUGCAUUGGAGACUGCAAGGCUAGAAUCUGGCAGAGGGGGGUAGAAUUCCACGUGUAGCAGUGAAAUGCGUAGAUAUGUGGAGGAACACCGAUGGCGAAGGCAGCCCCCUGGGUCAAGAUUGACGCUCAUGCACGAAAGCGUGGGGAGCAAACAGGAUUAGAUACCCUGGUAGUCCCAUGA